rnacentral:rRNA from 1 species
GAUGAACGCUAGCGAUAGGCUUAACACAUGCAAGUCGAGGGGCAGCAUAAAUGGAGCUAUACAUUGGUGGCGACCGGCGCACGGGUGAGUAACGCGUAUGCAACCUAACCAUAACAGGGGGAUAACACGGCGAAAGUCGUACUAAUACCGCAUAACACAGGGGUCCCGCAUGGGAAUAUUUGCUAACGAUUUAUUGGUCAUGGAUGGGCAUGAGUUCCAUUAGGUAGUUGGUAAGGUAAUGGCUUACCAAGCCAUGGAUGGCUAGGGGUUCUGAGAGGAAGGUCCCCCGCACUGGUACUGGGACACGGACCAGACUCCUACGGGAGGCAGCAGUGAGGAAUAUUGGUCAAUGGGCGAGAGCCUGAACCAGCCAAAUCGCGUGAAGGAUGACGGUAUUAUGUAUUGUAAACUUCUUUUAUUAGAGAAUAAAGUGCAGGACGUGUCCUGUUUUGUAUGUACCUAACGAAUAAGCAUCGGCUAACUCCGUGCCAGCAGCCGCGGUAA